AAAACAAUGGCUUUUUACCCUUUUUUUGCUUGUUGAGUUGAACCGACAGAUCUUCUUUGGGCAGUAAUUAUGCGCUUUCUGGCCCAACAACUCAGAUCCAGUGUAUUGAUAACGUGAUUUGUAGUUAUUCAAUUUUUGGCCUUUACCUUCAUUAUCUGAGAAGCCCUGGACGGUUAGAUCAAAAUGGAGAUCAAUGGUUGGUGAUGAGGGUAGAAAUAUUACCCUUAGUCGCCCCAUUAGGUCACAUUCUGUAUUCUGCCAUUUGGGUUGGUUUCCUGAUUCUUGUGUUCUUCUUUCAAACCUCUGGUUUCAAAAUUGAUUCUUCUGGUCUUCUUUAUGAAAUCUAAAUACUGAGUGUAUUUGUAAGAGAGUAAUAGCGUGAUUCCUUGUGACUUUCCUUUAAUCACAGAAGCAUACAAUUGAAUUUGGGACCUUUAUUUUUUUUUAGUUAUUGGUGCUUUUGGAGUUGUAUCACUUAUGGAGUGGAAGGAAAUGUAUGAUAUGCAAAGAUUCUAAAAGUACUUUGUGAUUCUAAAUAGAAGUCGUACGAAGGAUAGUUGGUCACAUCGAAUAUGGAUCGUAAGUGAAAGUCGGUGGCAUUCCUAGGGGUCAAGUUAGCUCUUGCUAACGUUAUGAUGUACUAUCUCCUUUGAACUUUUUGAGUGAACGGUGGCAUAAGAAAAAGAAAGAAGAUCAAUGAACUGACCCAUUCAUCUCCAACCAAGGAACUACGGGAUUUUAACACCAAUUGACCGUGAAAAAAAAUAAAAAUAAAAUAAAGAUGAAAAAUAAGUACCUGUACCUCCCCAUAAAGAUUCCAACCAAUCUCCCCUGCAUUAUGUGUGCACCACGAUAGAUGAUAUCUCCACUGGUUGGCAAUCUAAUACUAGGACGUUUAGUAUUAAAGCACCAUCAUUAGUCCCAUGACAUCUUAAGUCUUAAUACAGAUUUGGUGUGCGAAGUUAGGUCCAUACGAGUUUAAACCUGCUCCACGUUCAAGUGAAAGUCGUGUUUCCUUCUUCAAAUUUCC
rnacentral:lncRNA from 1 species